UNCACGUGUAGCAGUGAAAUGCGUAGAGAUGUGGAGGAAUACCGAUGGCGAAGGCAGCCUCCUGGGAUAACACUGACGUUCAUGCCNGAAAGCGUGGGUAGCAAACAGGAUUAGAUACCCUGGUAGUNCACGCCCUAAACGAUGUCGAUUAGCUGUUGGGCAGCAUGACUGCUUAGUAGCGAAGCUAACGCGUGAAAUCGACCGCCUGGGGAGUACGGUCGCAAGAUUAAAACUCAAAGGAAUUGACGGGGACCCGCACAAGCGGUGGAUGAUGUGGAUUAAUUCGAUGCAACGCGAAGAACCUUACCUGGUCUUGACAUGUACGGAACCCUCCAGAGACGGAGGGGUGCCUUCGGGAGCCGUAACACAGGUGCUGCAUGGCUGUCGUCAGCUCGUGUCGUGAGAUGUUGGGUUAAGUCCCGCAACGAGCGCAACCCUUGUCAUUAGUUGCCAUCAUUAAGUUGGGCACUCUAAUGAGACUGCCGGUGACAAGCCGGAGGAAGGUGGGGAUGACGUCAAGUCCUCAUGGCCCUUAUGACCAGGGCUUCACACGUCAUACAAUGGUCGGUACAGAGGGUAGCCAAGCCGCGAGGUGGAGCCAAUCUCACAAAACCGAUCGUAGUCCGGAUUGCACUCUGCAACUCGAGUGCAUGGAGUCGGAAUCGCUAGUAAUCGCAGGUCAGCAUACUGCGGUGAAUACGUUCCCGGGUCUUGUACACACCGCCCGUCACACCAUGGGAGUGGGGGAUACCAGAAGUAGGUAGGGUAAC
rnacentral:rRNA from 1 species